rnacentral:tRNA from 1 species
CUUAAUUAAGUGUCUGAGUUGCAUUUAGGAGAUGUAUAUUAGAGUUAUACAGGUCUUC